ensembl:lncRNA
UUAGAGUUGUUGCUGAGGAGGAGCCGUCCACAUUUUUACUGGACCCCGCUGAUGGCUAUAAUGUUGCCGUCGCCAAAGACAGGCUUUGGGCAGACUUUGACCUUCCAGGUGCAGCCUUCACACUCUGCCAUGACGAUGGGACACCAUGGCCAAGGAGGACUUUGAAAAAGAGCAAAUGACCCUAUCAGAAAUAAAGGAUGUCUGGAAGAAAACAUUCUUUGUUGGACAAAGAUCCAUGGCAGGACACAGUAACCUGGCUGAGGAACGGCCCGGGCCACCAGAAAAUUAUUCGAGUUCCCCAUCAGAGGAUUUCUUGGCAGACACACAACAACCAAAUUAUCCGGUUGAGGCAGCCAGACCAUUGUUCCACCUGCUGGUCCUCUCGGGGGAACAAUCUACUAUCGUGCUGCUGAAUGUGAGCUACACUACAAUCCUGCAACGUGGCAUUCCGAUGUGUGGUCUGUUGGUGCUACCUUUGUAGAGCUUUUUACAGGUUCUUGGCCUUGGAAUUUAAGACAAUCUCGUGAAGUUAAAGCACUGCUUUCUUCCCCGACUGAGCCCCAUGCUUUAGCCUUGCUUUCCCCAACAUGGAAAGACACUAUAACCCAAUGCCUUAUGUAUGAACCAGAACAACGACCCACAGCAAGGACCCAGGCCAAGGUUUUCUGAUCUGGGCUUGACCUCCAAACACUAGGUUGUUAAAUAAUUUUUGGGGGAGUAAUGGACUUCUCAGGACUGUGCAGGCCACUGAAGCCCUAUUUAAAUAAUGUUCCUGAAACCAUUUUCUUAUUAUGCUGGAAAUGCAGAUAUUGUAUCCCUGGUUUUGGGAAUUUUUUUAUAUUGUUGUUCAUAUCUAAUGUUAAGAAAAAUAUUGUUUGUUUGUUGGGGGAUUUACUUCAAUAAUUUCUAAUAUAUUAAUACCUAAUUCCUUUGAUAUCCUGGCUGGGCAGGAUACAUUUUUUUUUUAACAAGAUUGGCUUUGAAAUGUUUUCAAUAAUCAACAUCCACUCUUCUUUUUUUUUGUUACAUAUAUACUGUAUGUAUACUGUGCUGGAGUGUCCACCUUUGUUCUUUUUAUCACCUGCUCAUAAAGUUCACCUGGGCAUGCACCCUUUUACAAUGGUUACUCUAUUUAAGUGACUAUUUGGUUAGUGCAUGUUUAAAGCAAACAUCUUUAUCUAUUAUGGGUUACAGUAGAGCCGAACAAAGAGCUUUUUCUGAAAACCAGGAGCAGCAAAACAUGUCUGCCUGCUGUGUAAACAAUUCAAAAAUGUUAUGAGGAAUGUAGUUGUAAGGAAUACGAGCCACAGGCAUGUAUAGAUCCAUGCACAGAGCAUGAAAUGGUUUUAUUGUAGACGACAAGACAAAAAAAAUUGCCAGGCAAAAUAGUCUGGCAGGCUAUAGGUCUAAAUCCAAAAAACAGAGGCAUGCACAGGUAAAGGCUGGCAGGAGACAUGAAAAAACAGGUAAAUGACCCCAAAACACAGAUCUGAUGACAAUGGGUUGUCCUAAACCUUACUAGGUCCUUAAUAUGAAUUUGUUGUAAGGACCCUACAUUUUUAUAUAAAAAUGACAAGCCUUAUCAAAAUUUUGAGGAUGAUGAACUGAAAGAUCAAUCAACUUUUCUAAGAAAAAAUUCUUCAAGAACACAUAUGCAGCCAUCGACCGCUCUACACACAUGUGGUCAAUGUGGAGAGCAGAACGAGCAAGAAUUCUGGCAGAGUUCGGAAAGCUUCAUUAGCAACCAGCAGUGCUGCUCCAUCUUCACACAGCAGUGUUGCCACAUAGUGUGUCUGGUGUCUGUCCACUGGACUAAUCAGAUUCUGUGUUCCUUUGAGAAAUGACACAUGUGAGAAAAUUACAUUAGUACCCAAAGAUUUUACAUUUUAACAUUUCUGAACAUUUGAAGAUGAGGGCAAAGUUAUUAAAAAUGCAUGCGAGUUACCAGUGGUAGGUGUGAAAUACAUGAGGUUUGGUUUUCCAAAAGGCCCAGCUGCUCCAACUUUCCUCCGGAUAAUGUGGUCAUUCCAUUCGUUCUGUUCUGUUGGAACCUGCUUCUCAACAAGUGUUAGGUAGCAGUAUUGGACCAAGUGUCUACAAAUGAAAUACACACCCGAUUCCAAAAACGUUGGGACACUGUACAAAUUGUGAGUAAAAAAGGAAUGGAAUAAUUUACAAAUCUCAUAAAUUUAUAUUUAAUUCACAAUAGAAUAUAGAUAACACAUCAAAUGUUGAAAGUGAGACAUUUUGUAAUGUCAUGCCAAAUAUUGGCUCAUUUUGGAUUUCAUGAGAGCUACACAUUCCAAAAAAGUUGGGACAGGUAGCAAUAAGAGGCCGGAAAAGUUAAAUGUACAGAUAAAGAACAGCUGGAGGACCAAUUUGCAACUUACUUAAAAGAGCCUCUAAGAGUGGCAGUGUCUCUCAGAAGUCAAGAUGGGCAGAGGAUCACCAAUUCUCCCAAUGCUGCGGCGAAAAAUAGUGGAGCAAUAUCAGAAAGGAGUUUCUAAGAGAAAAAUUGCAAAGAGUUUGAAGUUAUCAUCAUCUACAGUGCAUAAUAUCAUCCAAAGAUUCAGAGAAUCUGGAACAAUCUCUGUACGUAAGGGGCAAGGCCGGAAAACCAUACUGGAUGCCCGUGAUCUUCGGGCCCUCAGACGGCACUGCAUCACAUACAGGAAUGAUACUGUAAUGGAAAUCACAACAUGGGCUCAGGAAUACUUCCAGAAAACAUUGUCGGUGAACACAAUCCACCAUGCCAUUGCCGGCUAAAAUUCUAUAGGUCAAAAAAGAAGCCGUAUCUAAACAGGAUCCAGAAGCACAGGCGUUUUCUCUGGGCCAAGGAUCAUUUAAAAUGGACUGUGGUAAAGUGGAAAAGUGUUCUGUGGUCAGACAAAUCAAAAUUUGAAGUUCAUUUUCGGAAAACUGGGACGCAAUGUCAUCCAGACUAAAGAGGACAAGGACAUCCCAAGUUGUUAUCAGCGCUCAUUUCAGAAGCCUGCAUUUCUGAUAGUAUGGGGUUGCAUGAGUGCGUGUGGCAUGGGCAGCCUACACAUCUGGAAAGGCACCAUCAAUGCUGAUAGUUAUAUCCAAGUUCUAGAACAACAUAUGCUCCCAUCCAGACGUCAUCUCUUUCAGGGAAGACCUUGCAUUUUCCAACAUGACAAUGCCAGACCACAUACUGCAUCAAUUUGAUAUGUCAUCUAUGUUGUAUUCUGAAUAAA